rnacentral:rRNA from 1 species
UACGUAGGGUGCAAGCGUUAAUCGGAAUUACUGGGCGUAAAGCGUGCGCAGGCGGCUUUGCAAGACAGAUGUGAAAUCCCCGGGCUUAACCCUGGGAACUGCAUUUGUGACUGCAUGGCUGGAGUGCGGCAGAGGGGGAUGGAAUUCCGCGUGUAGCAGUGAAAUGCGUAGAUAUCUGGAGGAACACCGGUGGCGAAGGCGG